rnacentral:rRNA from 1 species
UACGUAGGGUGCGAGCGUUAAUCGGAAUUACUGGGCGUAAAGCGUGCGCAGGCGGUUUUGUAAGCCAGAUGUGAAAUCCCCGGGCUUAACCUGGGAAUGGCAUUUGGGACUGCAAAGCUUGAGUGUGGCAGAGGGGACUGGAAUUCCUGGUGUAGCAGUGAAAUGCGUAGAGAUCAGGAGGAAUACCGAUGGCGAAGGCAGGUCCCUGGGCUGACACUGACGCUCAUGCACGAAAGCGUGGGGAGCAGACAGG